AGAAAGUUUAACUUUUUACUUAAACAAAUAAAUUCCUGAAACCUCAAUCUCCAUUUCCAAAAUGCAAACAUCAACCAAAACAGUACACAAACUGUCACGCCCCACCCCGAAACCACUACCAAUUUGGCACGGUUCGAGCGCGCCAGACGGACCGCCGAACGGACAGCACCUUCCCUAACCGCCCAAGGCUCAACAACAGAUUGAGUACAAGAAUUUACCCAAGAUUUUAAAUUCUAAAGGUACACAAUCAACAGGGCACAAAUAGUGCAAACAACAAUAAGAGCAAGUAAUCCACUAGAUAUACAAGUGAAAUAAAGAGAGUACUUUACUAACUAUUACAAUAGUUGCUUUCUUUUACAAUUACAUCUUUUCUCAAAAUGAAUACAUUUGAUCAUCCAAAAUACAUAGCUUUCCUUAUCCUCACCUACAUGAAUCUCUCUCAAUACAUAGGUGUGCUAAUGUGUAAUACACUG
rnacentral:lncRNA from 1 species